UGCGAAGGGGGCUAGCGUUUCUCGGAAUCACUGGGCGUAAAGCGCACGUAGGCGGACUCUUAAGUCGGUGGUUAAAUCCUGGAGCUCAACUCCAGAACUGCCUUUGAUACUGAAGAUCUUGAGUCCGGGAGAGGUGAGUGGAACUGCGAGUGUAGAGGUGAAAUUCGUAGAUAUUCGCAAGAACACCAGUGGCGAAGGCGGCUCACUGGCCCGGUACUGACGCUGAGGCACGAAAGCGUGGGGAGCAAACAGG
rnacentral:rRNA from 1 species